rnacentral:rRNA from 1 species
GAUGAACGCUGGCGGCGUGCUUAACACAUGCAAGUCGAACGGAAACAGGAUGAAGCCUAGCGAUUCCUGUUUCAGUGGCGGACGGGUGAGUAACGCGUGGGUAACCUGCCUUACACUGGGGGAUAACAGUUAGAAAUAGCUGCUAAUACCGCAUAAGCGCACAGGGCCGCAUGGCCUGGCGUGAAAAACUCCGGUGGUGUAAGAUGGACCCGCGUCUGAUUAGCUAGUUGGUGAGGUAACGGCCCACCAAGGCGACGAUCAGUAGCCGGCCUGAGAGGGUGAACGGCCACAUUGGGACUGAGACACGGCCCAAACUCCUACGGGAGGCAGCAGUGGGGAAUAUUGCACAAUGGGGGAAACCCUGAUGCAGCGACGCCGCGUGAGUGAAGAAGUAUUUCGGUAUGUAAAGCUCUAUCAGCAAGGAAGAAAAUGACGGUACUUGACUAAGAAGCCCCGGCUAACUACGUGCCAGCCGCCGCGGUAA